CAAGAAGACAACACCAAAAAAGACAGAAAAGAAAGUAAAAUGCCGAGAGACGAGGUUGGAACAUUGAGCAAAUUUCUGUCAGCCGAUAAGAAGCAGAACAGUUCCAAUCUUUUAAAACGGUGGUCUUGGCUUAACCCAAUUACUCCCAAGAAUAAGAAAGGAAAGGAACAGAAAAACCUGGAGAAAAAAGCAAAGAAAGAGAGACGAGCCAUGUUGUUAUUUUUUCGAUUGUUUGGGAGAUAACAAGGAAAUCUCUUAUGCAAUUUCCACAAAAAGAACAGCGAAAUAUGAUGUUAAUUAUAUAUCUUAGAGUAAAAAGUUGUUUUAAAUGUUUGAAGUAAUUAAUGCAUACAUUUUAAUUAGAUUGUUAAUGCAUAAUAAAC